GGACUACCGGGGUUUCUAAUCCCGUUCGCUCCCCUGGCUUUCGCGCCUCAGCGUCAGUAGGUGUCCAGCACGCCGCUUUCGCCACCGGCGUUCCUUCCGAUAUCUACGCAUUUCACCGCUCCACCGGAAGUUCCGCAUGCCCCUACACCCCUCGAGAAUAGCAGUAUCCACGGCCGUUUCACGGUUAAGCCGCAAGAUUUCACCGCAGACUUGCUAUCCCGCCUACGCGCCCUUUAAGCCCAGUGAUUCCGAACAACGUUCGCACGGUUCGUCUUACCGCGGCUGCUGGCAC
rnacentral:rRNA from 1 species